GUCAGAGCUGAGUCAGGAGUGGCAGAGCCCUGACACCCAUGUCCUAUACACCCUGGAGAUCCAAGCACAGCAAACCAGGAUGUCCAACAUCUGUCUGAGAUGCCAGGAGAUGUCCGUCUACCCCACGGGUCGGCUACCAUCUAGACCAAGAGACAGAUGAUCACCAUCCACAGAUGAGUCCAGCAGAUCCACGAUUUGUCAGCUCCUGAGGCCACAGAGGAACCCACAGGAGUCGGCUUUGAUAAAGAGAGUGGAGAUCCAGCUCCUGGAUUUAUCUUUUGCAGGCGGAGAUUCUCCUGGCUAGGAGCAUUUAUUAAUUCAUUUAGUUUUUAUUGUUCUUUUUUUAGCAGUUAAUUGUUGAUGUUUAGUUUUACUUGUUUGUGAUAGUUGUGCUUGCUUUACCAUGUUUUAUUCAGAUUACAGUGAUUUGUACAUUAUUAUUUUUAUUUAAAACUUUAGCUCUUCUCGAGUUCUUAAUGUUGUUUAUAUGAUGGAGUCAUGAGGAAAACUUGGACUCAAAAGGCUAAUAUCAAUGUUGCAGCUGGAUGGAUUUUGAGUUUUAUUUAAUUAAUCUAAUAUUUAUGAGCACUUAAAGAGAUGUCCCAGAGGGAACAAGCUGGAAAGACCUCCUGAAACAUUGAUUUCAGACGACCACGACUGAGUCUCACCGAGAAUCAAGAAUGAGUUCUAACCAAAGUCAGCUGGGUGAUGUCAAAAUUGGACCUUUCGUAGUAUUUCAAAUGUAGUUUAAAAAACACUAUACAUUAAAAAUACCCAAUAUUUUUAGUGGUAGUACCCUUUGAAGUACUAAGUAGUUCUGUGAAGGAAUGGUGAUGUACUAAAUUGAAACUCAGGAAUUAGUCCCACCCACAGUCUGUUCAAUUCAGUUCUAAUUGUUUCCCCGAUACAAAUUCAGCCAUGUUGGAUCCAGACAGCAUCAGUAGGCAGUGAUCGGUUGGAACUGAUCUGCUGAGUCAGCAUUUCUACAGGAACCAUUCUCACCAUUCAGGAGUGAGCGUGUUGGAAAUCCACACUCCUUCCAUUUGAAAGCGGCUCCACAAAAUCUGUCAAUCAGUUGCUUCAAAUGCUGACGUGAACCCACCUACUUUUACUGAGGCAUCUGAUUGGUCAACUUGAAUGACUUGAAUAACAGAAAAAGUAUCUUGAAUACAUGUUAGCAUUAGCAAGAACAUGUUAAAGGUCUGUA